UCAUAAGUAAAGGAAAUCUUGCAUCCUCCUGUUGUCCUCUGAUUCUUUUGGUUUCCAUGGUGAUGUUUUGUUCCGCUGGUUGCUGCUCAUCUGGGAGACAGCCGGCGGCUUCUGUCAGCUCCUGGUUCUCUUGUGGUGGUGAGGAACUGAAGGCCUGACCCCAGCAAGCAUGGCCUGUCCACAUUCCUGGCCCCAGGCCUUACUUUAAACCCCCAGCAGUUCUGAGGAAAUCAAUAUUUUUUUAUGUCUGUUACUCAUUCUUAACACAUCAGUGUGAGAAGUUCAUUUAGUAGCCCACUCAAGAAAGCGAAAGGAUGAGGGGAGGAGACUGAAGAGUCCCCAGGAGCUGGAAAGUUAUUGAAUCAGUGUGACCAGGAGACGACAAGAACUCUGCCUCUUGUGUCUGAGAUACGCUGUUGACUGGAUCUUACAUCCAAGGUUUACUCUGCUUUUCAUUCCCUCUCCUCUGUACAGAAGUCUCCCCAUCGCCACCAGCAUUCCAGUUGGACCUCAGGAGCCUAAAGGAUUUUGGAUGAUCGUCUCCCAUGCUCAGAUGCUCGGCCUCAGGCCUCAGUGUUUGACAGAAAUCAGUUAUUUUUCAGAGCACUGGAAGGUGCCCACAACUGACACUAGUGUAUUUUUUGUCACUUCAUAACACCCAUGGACAGUCCUCUGCUUCUCCAUACAAGAGUAAGCUCAGGAAUGCUUUGCUUCAUUCUAGGUCAGGCUGCCUGCAGAUAGAGACCCUUUCCUCUGCUGCUUUAUUGCCAGUUACAUUAAAUACAGUAGAUGACAAGAGUUUAUUAAUACUGUACUGUAGUCAACAUCUGUGCGAGUGCACACAAUGACCUUCAUGCAGAAAAAGAUUCCAUUGAACCUACAGAUAGCAGUGAUUCCCUUAGUGAUAGUGAAAGUCAUCCUACACAAUAAGCCUCCUGUCUCUUGUCUCCCUCACACCAGCCACGAAGGUUU